rnacentral:rRNA from 1 species
GACGAACCGUGCGAACGUUAUUCGGAAUCACUGGGCUUAAAGCGCGUGUAGGCGGAUGGCCGCGUCGAUGGCUGAAAGCCCCCGGCUCAACCGGGGAACGGGCCUCGAAACGGGUCGUCUGGAGGAGGGUAGGGGGACCUGGAACUUCCGGUGGAGCGGUGAAAUGCGUUGAGAUCGGAAGGAACGCCCGUGGCGAAAGCGAGGUCCUGGGCCCUUACUGACGCUGAGACGCGAAAGCCAGGGGAGCGAACGGG